CUCUUUGUGUGAUUUGCUUGGCAGCCCUGAAAACAGCUGACUGUCUGGUUGGAUCAGUCCCCCGUGGCAAACUCAGGACUCUGUGUUCCCAGUACUGGCUCACAGAAUCUGGUUGAAUCACGAAAAGGAAGCUGGACUUGUGAGGAUGGAAGGGAUCUGAGAAGACCGGAAGAACAAUGGUGAAGUAAAGUAGAAAAAGUGAGAACACUGGGUGGUCCAGUCUGAUGGAGAUUCAUCUGGAUGCAAAAUGUGAAGACAAGCCUUCAGUUCCCUUCUUGACCACCAGCAUGGAACUAAACAAUUAAACCUGUCAGAAAAAAAAAAGCUGCU
ensembl:lincRNA